rnacentral:rRNA from 1 species
CCUACGGGUGGCAGCAGUGGGGGAUAUUGCACAAUGGGGGGAACCCUGAUGCAGCGACGCCGCGUGGGUGAAGAAGCGCCUCGGCGCGUAAAGCCCUGGCAUCAGGGAAGAAAAUGACGGUACCUGAAGCAGAAGCCCCGGCUAACUACGUGCCAGCAGCCGCGGGAAUACGUAGGGGGCUAGCGUAAUCCGGGUUUACUGGGUGUAAGGGGGGCGCAGACGGCGAUGCAAGCCAGGAGUGAAAGCGUGGGGCCCAACCCCGGGACGGCACUUGAAACUGCGAGGCUGGAGUGCAGGAGGGGGAGGCGGAAUUCCUGGUGUAGCGGUGAAAUGCGUAGAUAUCAGGAGGAACACCGGUGGCGAAGGCGGCUUGCUGGACUGCAACUGACGUUGAGGCCCGAAAGCGUGGGGAGCAAACAGGAUUAGAUACCCGAGUAGUC